rnacentral:rRNA from 1 species
CCCUUAGAUGUUCUGGGCAGCACGCGCGCUACAAUGGUCUUCGCAAACGGAUGCAUUCUCGAAGGAGAAUGCCAAUCUUGGAAUCUAUGCCUUGGUCGGGACAGUUGCUUGCAAUUUUUCGACUCGAACCAGGAAUUCCUUGUAAUCGUGAUUCAUCACAUCACGAUGAAUACGUCCCUGCCCUUUGUACACACCGCCCGUCGCUCCUACCGAUCGAAGAGUUAGGUGAAUUGUUUUGAUCGAUAAGAUUUGACUAUGGUCAACUCUCGUUGUGAAAUUCUGUGAAUCUGACUGUUUAGAGGAAGGAAAAGUGGUAACA